rnacentral:lncRNA from 1 species
AGUUUAAAUCCACCACACACAAGAAAACUUUAUCUUAAAAAUGGUCCUUACCUAAUACCGACUUUACUAGUGAUGAGGAAAAUCAAGUUUCGAUUUUGCGUAAUCUGAUUUGUUUUCCGUUUGUGUGAAUCUGCUUAAAGAAAAUGAAAUUCCUAAUUGAUUGGUCAAAAAAAAAUAAAUGACUAUUAAAUUUCCCACCUUGAGCUGGGUACAGUUUUUAUCAAACAAUUAGCGAGUUCUUUUUGGUCAUUUAAUUUCAGAUAUGAAGAGUAGAUCAAAUUCUGAGUUUUUUGAAGGUUGAUUUAGCGAUUCAUAUGGAAUUUUCCUUACAGCGUCAAAUUUAAGGAAAGAACUGAAGGUAAAGUGAAAAAUGUUAAAGUGGCUCAAUAACAUGCUUGAUACCAAUCAACAAAUUCUCUUAGAACAGGAUUAGUUUAUCGGUAUCAUAGACUUCAAAGGCCCAGUCAUUCCAGUAUUUGAGAAAUUGAAGUUUGUCCAGGUUGGUUUCUUCCUAGUUAGUCCAGUUACCUAUGUUAUUAUGUGGGUCAGCAUUGUGUCUUUGUCUCAGAUGUUGGAGUAGAAGGUUGAGAAAUGGAAACAUGACUACGAGUAUUUUUAACAAGUUUUUAAGCCUAAUAUGCCUAGUAUUGGUUUUAUUCUUAUAGUAGUAAACGCCCUUCCUGAUGUAUUCAUUCUUCAGCUUAGAAGCUAUAGUCUCAUAAAAUUUCACUAAGCUAUUUUCUGCUUCUGUUCCUAAGAGAAAACAUUAUGAUUGACAUAUUCAACUAUGACCUUUGCUGGCGUUAGAUACUUGUGAAAAGAUAGGUUGUGGAUCUAUUCUACCUCUAGACAUCUUGAACAAAUCCUUUUACCAUUUUUUACCUUCAGGCAGGUCUAACCUUCUUGUCAUAUUUACAUGGUUCUCUUCAUCAACAGUAUAUGUAUUGACUCCGCAUACCAACAACUGUAGUCGGUCUGUGUCUAACUCUCAUAGACAGUGAUUAUUUUUCCCAUUAGCAUCAUUUACUUUCAUUGAAUGUGUUGCACGAAGUUUAAACAGCUUUCUGAAAAAACUGUUUACUGAAAAGUAUUGCCUGGUAUGUAUAACAAGAAGGCAUAAUCAGACAAGCACGCCCAUAAGUCACGUUGUAUGUCAACUAAAUUAAGUUGCCACUUAUUGACAAAUAGAUAUUUCAGAAGAAAUUUCUGGUUUUAAUUUGUAAAUCUGCCCUCAAUAUUAACUGCAAUAAUUGUGCAACCUUAUUUGCAUUAAACAGUAAGGACAUACAGGGUUUUCCCACAAUGCCCUAUGUUUUCUACAUUCCAGUCGCGAGAAGUAUUCAUGCCCUUUGAUAACUUUCUUGUAUAUAAGUAUUAUAACUCCUAAACUUUUGGUAGGGGACAUGUUUGAUAGUUGGCCACUUUCCCUCCUAUCCUUCAGCCAUCAAGAUUUUGAUACGUCUCUUUAUUUCUGAUCAAAGGAAUGUCAUUUUGUUUUCCUGAAAAUCCUAGAUAUUUGUAGCACGAUAUUGAAAAAUCUUCUUCCUAUUACUCAAACAAGCAUGAAAACUAUGUAAUUUUGGGCUUUUCAGUGGAUGAACAUCUUGCUUGAUGUGAUUUGUGAGACCAAUACUAAAUGAGUUUGUAAUCAUAGUGCCUAUAGUCUUUUGGAUUUGAGAACAGGAGCAGUUCAUGGAGCUUAAAGAUGUGUGUUGACUGCAUUGAUUAGUGGAAAUGCUUUUCUGGUUUUUUAUCUGCAGGGCUUUGCUAGUAAUGUUAUCCAUUUUGACUCUUACUCAUUGCAUCACUCAGAAAUAAACAGCUGUAAACUUGCAACUCCUCAUAAAAUACACUCACCAAAAUAGGUACUUGAUGCAUUGAGUCUCUACAAACUUGCUUGUAAGAUCCCUUAUGUUGGGAUGGCAGACAUUGAACUGGCUCCUAAUUCUUCAAUAACAGAAUAACAUUUGUACUUAGGACUGAAAGAUUGAGCAGAUUUACGGUUUACCAUCUCCACCUUCCUUUGGAGCACUAUUAGAGAACUCAUUUAGAAUCGUUUGGUUGGGAACAAGUUAUCCCAAGAUGGAAGCUAUCCUGGGACAACUUAACCAUGUAUAUGAGAUAACUUAUCCCAUCACUAUGGUAUAAAUGGUGGGUUAAGUUAUCUCAAACAUAACAACGAAACACCAAAGUUUGAUCCCUGGACUAUUUUUUUACCCUAGGACUAUUAAUUCUUAUCCCUCACAUCAAACGACCUAGUGUAUCGCUCUCUCCACAAAAAGGGAAGCAAUCAAGAUAACCACCUUAAGGUUCCAUCCAUUACUUGUAUUAUUUUCUCAAGGUCAUAAUUUCGAACUUCUGAAGCUAUGUCGUUGUAUGUCAUCCAACGUGUUUCUAUUAAACCACUUAUGUUACUCCUCCUUGGUUAUCUCAGACUAAUUCGGAAACCUGGAAACUGAAGUCCCGUUGUUACCAUGACAAGUUGGGUCCAACAAGGAGGUUUUCAAAUUGAACUGCAUUAAAAGUGAAAGGUAUGGAUUCUUCGUGCAAACAAUACAGGUUAAGUCAACGGUACAAUUAGCAUUCAUAAGAAAAGGCAUAUGCUCAAUAGAGUGCUCAACAGAAGGGGGCAUGUCAUUAAGCAGCAACAGUGACCCAAACAAAACUUUGAUCCAGGUUUUUAACCUUUGAAAUGAGUCUUGAAAACUACCGUAUCCCAUUAGCACUUCUCUUUUUCUCACAAGUUAAACAACUCAGGUGAAGUGAACUAUGGAAUAUGGAGCAAGUACUGCCACCAGGCAUUUGGCAUCAAAAAGAGCAAAAUUCUGAGAAAAGAAGUCUCGUAGCAGCCUCUCAAGUUGGAAGAGCUAGUUUCUCUUUUCCAUGUUGUAGGAGGUUCCACUAAAGUUCAGGUAUAUGUUAUCUUUUGCCCUUGCAGAGGCAGUUAUUGAAUCUUCUUUGCUGAUGUUUUACUAGUGUGGCUUAAUGAUUUUUGAGUUCUAAUUUGUCAUUUGAGGCUAUGGACCAUUGAACCACCAUACAAUCUAAUAUUGUCAGUUGAUUUGCAUGAAGUAAAGAGCAUUUUGCCUUAUCUUUAUUUUAUUUUUUCAAAACUGGUGAUUCAGUAAAUCUGAAUUUGGUUGAGUUGCAUUACUUUAAUCAAUAUUUUGGCAGUUACAAAUUUGUGCUGAUUGUCUUUUCAUAUUGACCCAAAAUAAGGUAGAAGUGGUGUUCACUUCAGCAGAGCUAGGGAAUAGUAACAAUGUAAAAGCAAUAGAG